rnacentral:rRNA from 1 species
GCACCUUUGUGCGAGCCCCCGCGUGGGAGGGAAGACCCCUUUGGGGGGGUACCCCUUUUUUCUAGGGAGAAGUUCCCGGGUCCUUGUGUUUGAUUAGGCCCGGGGUUACUUCCGGGUGCCCAGCAACCCCCCCGGUUAAUUCCGAAGGGGGGCGCUAAGCGGUUUCCUUCGGGAAUUCUCCCCUUGGGGGGCGGUUAAGGCCGCAUUGUUAGCCGGGUUUAUUAGGUUGAGGUUAAAGCCCCCAGGUUUACCUUGUUGGCCAGGUUCUAACCUUGAUUUACUUAGAGUCUUGGGAAAGGAAAGAUGGAUUUAGUAGUGUAGGGGUAAAAUCCGUAGAGGAUUCUAGGAAAUUCCGAAAGCGAAGGCGAUCUUCUGGACAGUCCUGCGCUGAGAUGCGAAAGCCGUGGGGAGCAAACAGGAUUAGAUCCCUGGUAGUCCACGCCCUAACGAUGAAUGUUAGUCGUUUGGAGUGCUAGCCACUUCAGUGAUUGCAGCUAACGCAUUAACAUUCCGCCUGGGGAGUCGGCCGCAAGGUUAAACUCAAAGGAAUAGACGGGGGACCCGCACAAGUGGUGGAGCAUGUGGUUUAAUUCGAAGAUACGCGAAGAACCUUACCUGGUCUUGACAUAUCCAGAACCUGCCAGAGAUGGUGGGGUGCCUUUGGGAGCUGGUAUACAGGUGCUGCACGGCUGUCGUCAGCUCGUGUCGUGAGAUGUUGGGUUAAGUCCCGCAACGAGCGCAACCCUCGUGACUAGUUACUAACAGCAUAGGCUGAGGACUCUAGUCAGACUGCCUUCGUAAGGAGGAGGAAGGUGGGGACGACGUCAAGUCAUCAUGGCCCUUACGGCCAGGGCGACACACGUGCUACAAUGGGGAGGACAAUGAGAAGCGAAAUCGCGAGAUGGAGCAAAUCUAUAAACCUUCUCUCAGUUCGGAUUGUAGUCUGCAACUCGACUACAUGAAGCUGGAAUCACUAGUAAUCGUGAAUCAUUAAGCCGGUGAAUACGUUCCCAAGU